UAGCUCAGUGGUAGAGUAUUUGCCUAGCAUGCUUAAGAUUCUAGGUUCAAUCCCUAG
rnacentral:tRNA from 1 species